UAAAUUGCUCAUCGGCUGUGCCAACACCAUUUGGUCUAUAAACCCGUUUUUGUUUUUGGUGAUUGGUGACGUGUUCAAUUCUUUUGUUCUGAGCUUUGUUUCUGGCUGUCAGUUCUGUCCCACUGAUUUUCUCUUCUGGAUCCCCUGUGGGAUGAAGAAGCAGACAGACCUAGAUCUCACAUAUAUUAGACGUGACAUCCAUUUAUUUGUUUAUUCUACAGUUAUCUACUGAAGCAGCUUCUGUGCCGAGUCUUAUGCUAGUGUGCGUCACUGGGGACGCAGACGUGCAGAAGAUGUGGUCCCUGUCUUCAAGCCGUCAUAAUCUGGCAAGGACAAUUCAUAAGGACGGAAACAAACACAGAUACCGACAGUAAUCGAGCUCUGCUCGGAGCCGCCCCUCUUCCCCUGCACCCUUUACAGCCCCACGUGCGAUGCCUUUGACAAGCUCUUCUUGGAGGAGGUGCAGCUGCCCGAGCUGGACAAGGACAACAGGCCCGUCUUCCCCUCCACGGGUGCCCAUUCGGCCACCAUGAGCUCCAGCUUCAACGGCUUCCCGCCCGUGCUGUCUGCUACGACCCAAGCUCAGGUGUCUAAGGCAGGAAGACGGAAGAGGAAGUGGGGGAUCUCACACUGGUUUAAGCUUGGGGUUUUAGGACCUCUUACAAAUGGUGUCUUGGCAGCCGAGAGACAAAUAAUGAGAAGCAUCAUCCAGGCAAGAGGGCAAGAGAAACUGACCUGGACAGAGAGAAGAAAGAACAUAUACAAAGAUAGGGAGGUGAGGGGGAGCAUGGAGGAUGUGACCUGUUAAAAGAAGACCAGCACUGCUGAGGAGCAGAUAGUGAGAGGAGACGUGAUGCAAAUCGAGACAAGACAGAAAUGUGGGGACAAGACUCAGCAGGGCCCUGUGAGCCAUGUGGAGAAUCCCAGUCAUUGAAAGAUUUUCCAAAGGGAUGGCCCAUCAUCUUAUCUACUCCCAGAAGAGGUCACUCUGACCGCAGUGCAGAGAAUGGAUUGGAGGGCAGAGCAGAGGGGAAACGACUGAGGUAGAUGGCAAACAUGGAGAGAAAUGAAUGACUGGGUAUACCGAGGAGGAAAAGGAAAGGAGAAUUGGGAUGUGCCUAUGUAGAGUGAGAGCGUGGGAGGAGGGAAGGAGAAAUCCCAACUCCUCAGCUUGUGCA